AAAUUACGAUUGCAGCUUAACAGAUGGAGUUACUUUCAUUUUCUGGUUCAACCAGAGCUCAGUUGUCGUGGUUACUUAAGUUGUUUACUUUUCCAUAACAAUUUGAUUUCGUUAAUUGUUACUUUCAAUUUGAAUCAUUUUCGUUCUAAUCCUUUUAGUUUAAUCCAUUUAUUUUAUUGGAUUAUCAUUUUGGGGUAAAAUUUAAUCAACUAGUCUUAUUUAAGAGUAAUCGAAGAAGAAUAUAUAAGUAGAACUUGAUUUUCUAUUCUAAUUGUGAUUUUUUUGGGUUUUUCUCUCAUUUUCCCUCUUAAUGUAUUCUCAUUAUCACCAUUUUGUUUUUAUGUUUUUCUUUUUAUUAUAGUGAUGUCCUUUUUUUAUUCAAUUCUAGAGAGAAAGGAAGAGAUGAAAGAAAAAGAAUCUCAUGGAUCAAUAGUUGUUACUUUAUCUGUUAUUCUUUAUUUACUUUUCAUUGGUUUUCUCUCUUCCAAAAGGUUAGUAGAUGUAUCCAUUAAAACGAAAGGUAAUACCCUAAGGUUAUUCACUGUUAGGUGAACCUUUUCUUGGAGAUUUUUAUUCACAAUCUUUUUUUUCCCUAAAAAGCCAAACAACAACAUCUCAAAUGUAAUCCAGAUGAUCCAAAUUGAUUGGUUACUAAUCGUCACUAAAUCGGAUUAACAUAUUUUUUUGUUCCUCUCUCUCUCUCUAUUAUCCUAAUCAUCACCAAGUUAUUCAAAUAUUUGUCAAGCUAAAUCUCAAUAGACAAUAACAAGUGGAAGAUUGGAAAACCUUUUCAUCCAUUUUAAUGAUAUUACAUAUUAAUGAUACUUCAUUUAAUGUAAAGUGAUCCAAAUGAUGGUAAUUUAAAUUGCUGAUAUUUCAAGUCUUCUGGGAAUCCAAUCAACAAUUACCGGAGCAGUUUGAAUUUUUCAACAACAAAUCAACAACAGCAAUGAAACUAUUGUAUACAUGGUAAUUAUUUAACAUCGACACAAUUAACAAGGUUUCAAUUGGAUGGAAACAAUUACAAUCAAAUUACCAGGUAAUAGUUAAACGAUUAGCUGGUUAACAAUUAUCAUUACCUGGAAAUAAAUUCAUUGUUAAAUGAACAAGAAAAUACAAGAAUUUUAUUAUUAUUCUUUGUAUUCUGAAAACCUUUUCCAAGUACCUGACAUCCUUUUCAUCCUCAUCCUCAUCUUCAUCUUCUUCAUCCUAUUUUAUCAUCAUUCUCAUUAUAAGACUAAGAUUUGAACUCACACAAAGGUAAAUGGAGUUUGUUGAAAAAAAAGGUAAACUCUUUUAUCUAACAUUUCAGUUGAGAGUAUUAAGAACUCAAGAUGAAAUAAUCUAUCUCCUAAGAACAUAUUCUUUCAUCAUCUUAUCAUCAUGAUGCCAAUAAGAUGACAGGAGAGAGAGAGAGAGAGAAUGAAGAAAAAAAACUCUUGAUGAAGAUGAAGAUAACCUAAGGGAGGGUAACAACUUGUUCUGACUUUUCAGAAUUCAUCAUACCCACUCUUCCACCUUGGAACAACCUUUCAACCACCUCAGGUCUUGUGUCUUGAUGAUCAUCAUUCCCUGUUUUUUAUCAACCAUUUCCAUCCUCAUCUUUUACCUGAUUUCCUUUCCUCUUGAUUUGCAUCAACUUUUGAACUAUGGUGAACUUUUUUCCUCCAUCUAAACAUCAAACAGAUGAUCUUCAGUUAAUCAUCUUAUUCAUGUUUCUUUGUUUACUUUUCUAUCCCUAGUUGAUGAUGAUCAUGAAUUUAAUUCAAUUGUAAACCAAGGUUUUCAUUUCUCUUUCAGUUCAAAAACAGAAUCAAGUUCAUUCAGUUAAUGAGAUUUAAUUUUGAUUAUGAUGAAAAAUAAACAAAAGAAAAUAUUGAUUCCAAUUAAUAUAUUGAACAUGAGAGUAACUUUCAUACAUGACUGAUUAUCAUGUAUUACAAUCAGAUUAGUUGAGUUAUUGUUGUUCCUAUAACAAUCACCACCAUGAAUGAACUAACAAUUAACCAUCUUAAACAUUAAUCAUUUACCUCAUUAUCUUUCAUGAUAUUAUCAGAAUUAACUAUUGAAUGGGAGUUAAGUUUAUCGAUUUACUUUUAAGAUUCAGGAUAAUAUUUAGGAUGAUGAUCACUAUUGAUUACUCAAUGAGUGGAAAAUGUUUUCAUGGAAUAAAAAAUUUCCAUUGACAUGGUGAUGACGAGGAUUAACCUAAAUAAUUAUCAGGGGAUUUCAUGAAUAUAGAAUCUGAAUCAUGUAUUUACAUUCUCAGAAAUUUCCUUUUCAGAGAUUAAUCUUAUUCGUAAUUUUUUGUCUUCUCAUUUUCGAUGAAAAAAAAUUCGAAUCCAAAGAUGAUUAAGUGAUUUCGAUUGAAUUUUUUUCCUCUUCAUGAAUCAGCUGAAUAUUGUGAUUCCAUUGCAAAAGGAUUUCAUGAUAUUAAAUUAUUUCAUCUGAUGAAAUCUAUAUAUUGACUUUGUAAGAGAAGAGGAUGAUGAAUAGGAUUGAGAAUUGUUCCUGAAAGAAGACAAAAAUUGUGAGUUGACAAUUGAACAUGGAAAUCAUCAUGAAAAUGGUGAAAAAACUGUUAACAUAUGAACAAGAAGAGGAUAAAUUGUCAACAAUCUGUUAACUUGAUCAAUCAACGAACGAUAAUCAAAUUCUGAAUUCCAACAAACUAACCAAUUAACAUGAUAAACUUUUCCAAAGAGAGAAAUUCUCAUCUUAUAAAUAAAGUUCCAUGUCAUCUUCAGAUGAUAAUGAUCAUGAUUCUGUUUCCAUGAUAUAAAAAAACUCUUAUGAUGAAAUUCUAAGAGUAGAUUUUGUUGAAAGAAUUUUUUUUAUUCCUAUCAACUUAUUUUCCACUUUCAUCUUAACUCUAGUUAAAAAGUAACACAACUUACUAUUAGUUAAUCAUGUAGAUUAUUAUCUAGGAAAAAGUUAAUGGUUAACUAUUAACAAUUUACUUAAUAUGUUCACCAUUUCAUGAUUAUUAUUAUGAUUCAAUAGGAUUCAGUUUUCAUGAGACCAUGAUAAUGUCAUGGUCAGUGUUCACUACUCAGGGUUUCUUAUACAACCAUUUUCCUUGCUGUUAUUAUUAUUGAUUGUGAUGAAAGUUAACCAAUUGUUACUAUUAAUGAUAAUCUAUUGAUUAUGGUUGUUAGGUGGAUGGUUAUGUUACAUACAUACAGCAUUUAAUUGUGAUUAAAUUGUUGAUUAUCAUAAGAAAAGAGUAGAGAAACUUUCAUUUUCUGUCCAAUCCUUAAUAUUGAUUUAUUGAUUGGCUUUUCAUGAUAAUUUCUUGAUUGUCAACAUUGAUCAUUGUUAAUCUAUUUUUUUGGGUAAACUUAAUCAGCUUGUCAAUCAGUUUAUGAUUAACAAUUGAAAUGGAUUAAUCAGCUCGUAUCAGUAAUUGAAGUUGUUUAAUUGUUGAUGAUCAGCUUUGAUUAUUAACAGCAUCCUGAUAAUAUGAUCAGGAUGAAAAGUAUUUAAUUGUAUCAACCCCACACUCUGGGAUAUUAAAUUUUCAAGAGGUUAAUCAAAGCUUUGAUUUACCUAAGAUACACAUAAUGGUCAUUCCGUUUGACCAGAAAAAAGUCGGAAAAGGUAUUGAUAUACAAAUACCGAUAAUUAAUCUGUUGGAAAUGAGUCCAGUUUACAUGAGAUACCCAAAAGAAAUGGUUAAAUCUUUAAAGCUCUUGUUGAAUUAUCGGUUCAUGGAAAUAUCAGUUCUGUUCAUCAGUUCACCAAACAUUGUUCAUCUAUUAAUAUUGGUCAACUAGCAUUUUAGCUCCCACUAUAAUAAUGCCCCUACUGACCAUCGGUGACAUCCAACAAUUGACCAUAGACCCGAGAGAUACACUACAUGUAUGAUCUUAAAUGUUAUUAAUAAUAGUGAUAAACUUGGACCUAUUGAAAAGUGGCUUUUGUACAAUUUAUCGCUUUCAUAAUUCUGUUUAUUUUCAAAUGAGAAUCUCUUGCAGACAGAAUUUCAAGCCAACAGUAAUGCAGCUUUCUGAUAGUGGCCUUGUUGACUUUUACCCAUUGAAAGUCCUCAUGUAAAUACUUUCGGCAUUCAGGUUUCGUCUCGCAAAAGCAAACAGCCCAUUCUCAUAUCAUCCUCAUCAAUAUUAUAUCGUCAGUUCUGAAAUUGAAACUUAUUAUUACGGAGUUUCGGCGUUUACUAAGCUAUUCGUUACCACGGCUUUACGAGACUUUAUACAGGAAUUAUGAUAAGGCUGUAAUUUCCUUGGAUUAUAUUAAUCAACUCUCAUUGAAUUCGUCGAUGAAAGCAAUUUUCAAGCUAACACCAGUACCAUUUGAUCAACAUGAAUCGACA